rnacentral:tRNA from 1 species
UGGGCUGUAGCGCAGCGGGUUAAGCGCAGGUGGCGCAAAGCACAAGGACCGGCAUAAGGAUCCGGGUUCGAACCCCGGCUCCCCAC